UUCUCAGAUUAACGGCUGCUGUCCGCUCGCUCCGAGCAGCGCCAAGCCCCAGGGUCGGGCAGAGGUCUGGGCGGUGAGGCGUUGCACCAUUAGCCGCCUGCGAGUCCUUAGGGAUGGGUGUUGGGAGGUGCGGUUUCAUUUAACUGGUUCCUUUAAACAGCAUGGGUGGAGGUGAGCCGCAUCACAAUGCAGAGGAAUUCUGGGGUGGACUGAACACUUAAGAAGGCCGAAGAUCAGAGUGUAGCCAAAAGCCUCUUGCUGUCAUGGAUGAAAACGUUUAAACCCGCCUGGGCCGCGUGACGAAUUGGGUCCUUCGCCUCGUUUCCACGCCGUUACCACUGAGUGCCCUGGAGGACGCUUCAGGUGCCGUGUGCGGUUCAUCUGGUGUGUCCCCCCCCAGCCACUGAUGAUGUCAUAUGUGGUUAUAUUUGGGUACACAAUACCGGUGAUACUCCCAGUUUCAAAGGUAAUAUUAAAGAUGUUAAUGUUCAUGAUAAUUACACAGGGAAGAGUACAAGCGGUGAAUAUCGAGAUGAUGGUAAAUGUGUUUGCAGUACCUUGCCCAGUUUACUCCCUUCAAAGUUAAUUCACUAGUCCCAUCAAAAUGCUUAAGUUCAGUGGUUCAAACUAUGCAGCACAGUCAUUAGUAUAUUUAAGGCAGCUCCUGUCCACAGCUUUUACCGUCUGAGGGGGGGGUGUGGUGUUAAAGGUGUAAGAUCCCCUACCCUAAAUUGUUCCACAUAAAUCUGAAGUAUUUUUUCUUUUCUUUUUUUAAAUAGCGACUUCCCAGUCAAAUCUGUUUCUUCUCUAUUUAUAUCCCCCAGCCUCAGCAGGCAAACCCCUCUGAAAAGCGACCAAACGGAGUUUCGGCACCUUGCCUCUCCUUGCUCAAUCGUGGCUUUUCCUCGCCGUCCUGCCUUUGGCGGAACGCUGGCGAACACUUCAGGGUUUUUAUGGGAGCUGAGCUGCCUUCCGCGCCGCCGCCGAUCCCUGCUUGUGUACACACAGGCGCGCGCGCAUGCAUGCGCACGGUUUGCGUUUCUGUCUGCGGGGGCGAUUCCCAUUGGUCCUGCUCUGUAAUAACACUGAUGUUUCCUAACCUCCCUCUAACAAAACUGAAAAGCCGAUGGAAGCCGAUAACAUGCAGAGAUAUGAGUUUUAUCCUCUUAAAAAAAAACAGAUCUUUUGCCAUAAUUUUUUCUACUGAAUUGUUUGAAUAUUUGUCCUUAAAAUAUGAUUAAAAAAAAAAAACCCUAGGACAGACACAGGCAUACACAUCCUGCGUAAACAUAGUCUAGGGAACUAGAGUAAACUCUACCUCCCAUGAGCUCACGUUUUUUGUUGCGUUUCUUUUACUGUUGAUUUUUCCGUGCACACAGAUCUGUCCAUAAUUUUGUGCUUAAUUAGUAGAUGCUUGCAAUUUUUUGAGUUUAGCCGCAAACACAAUAGCGACUGCAGUAUUAAGAUAUCUUUGCCGUGAUCCGGGCCGGGUAGGUGACACGAGCGUUUGGACCUUGGCUCUCCUUUAACAUCAGUUCACGGCCUGCCUUUCGUCACUGAUCGGCAGAAGCCACACAACACACAGCCUGUGAAGCACGUGUUCGUCCCUGUAGGUAACGGUGCGUGUAGCGGUUCUCUUUUAGCGACGGUCGACACACAGCUACCCAAUGAAAAUGGUUUCCUGUUUCCUGUUCGAAAGGCUCCCCAAAACCUGCUCUUCGUCCACAGCGAGUCUGGUCCCCCUGUGCCUGCGACCGCAAGAAAUAUCGAGCACGGAGCAAGCCAGAUGGCUGAAAUCACAUCUGAAUGUGUUUCUGUAUGUAUGCAGCCAUACAGGCAACAUUGCACAGGCAUGAUUGACUUCCUGUAUAUAUGCAUAUGUAUAUUUGUAAAGCUUCUUCCUGUCUGUCCAAACUGUGUUUAUGUCAGUAUUCCACGCUGCAUUUAAGUGCUGACAUGUGCCAGUCUAUAUUUACUUAAAAUUUUUUUUAGCAGACGCUUAUAUCCAAAGCGAUAUACAUUUUUGAGGUGGCAGUGUCACACUGUCCCUGGUGCACUUGGAAGUUAAGGGCCUCGCUCAAGGACCCGAUUGUGAAGUCAAUCUGCUCGCCCUGGGAUUUGAACCGGCAACCUUCUGAUCACAGACGCUAAGCUACAGAUCCACACCUCGCCCCCAUCUUUGGUGUUAUGUGUUUGGCGUGUGAGUACCUGGUUGCAUGUGUGUGCGAGAGAGAGAGAGAGAGAGAGAGAGAGAGAGAGAGCAGAAAGUCACGCCCUCAACGGACCGGACUCCGCCGUGUGGCUUUGGCUCGAGCCGGAUCCACUGUUUGUGUGUGUGUGUGUGUGUGUGUGUGUGUGUGUGUGUGU